ACUCUCAGCAACGGAUAUCUCGGCUCUCGCAUCGAUGAAGAACGUAGCGAAAUGCGAUACCUGGUGUGAAUUGCAGAAUCCCAUGAACCAUCAAGUCUUUGAAUCCAAGUUCGCCCGAGGCCAUCCGCUAAGGGCACGCCGCCCUGGCGUCCACGCUUUCGACGCGCCGUCAGAAGCUCCCUGGGGGCGGGCGAACACGGAGGAUGGCCCCCAUGCCGGAAGGUGCGGUUGGCGAAGAGCGGGCCGUCAAUGGUUGUCGAACACGACACAUGGUGGAUGCCAUGUGCGAAGUCGUCGUCGUGCCGCCGGGACCUGGCGGCCUCGAGGACCCAAGUCGGUGGUGCGAGUCGAUGCCUGGACCGACCGACCCCGUGUCGGUGGGGCUACCCGCUGAGUUUAAGCAUAUAAAUAAGCGGAGGAGAAGAAACUUAAAAGGAUUCCCUUAGUAACGCGAAGCGAACCGGGAUCAGCCCAGCUUGAGAAUGGGCGGCGCCGCGUCGUCCCGGAAUUGUAGUCCGGAGAAGCGCCCUUAGCGACGGACCGGGCCAAAGUCCCCUGGAAAGGGGCCGGAGGGUGAGAGCCCCGUCCGGCUCAGAACUGUCGCGACCACGGCUAUUAUCGACGAAGUCGGGUUGUUUGGGGAAUGCAGCCCCAACCCGGGCGAUAAAUUCCGGCCCAAAGGCUAAAUAUGGGCGAGACCGAUAGCGAACAAGUACCGCGAGGGAAAGAUGAAAAGGACUUUGAAAAGAGAGUCAAAGAGUGCUUGAAAUUGCCGGGAGGGGAGCGGAUGGGGGCGGCGAUGCACCUCGGUCGGAUCUUGAACGGCGGUUAGCCGGUCCGCCCUUCGGCUUCGGCAGUGCGGAUCGACGCGGGCUGCAUCGACGGCCGGGCUUGACGGAUCGUUUGUUCGAGGGGAUACCGUCGAUGCGGUCGAGGAGAUGACGACGCCAUCGGCGUGCCCGCGGGUACACGCGGCGACCUAGGCAUCGGCCGAUGGGCUCCCAAUCCAACCCGUCUUGAAAACAUGGACCAAGGAGUCCGACAUGCGGCGAAGUCGAUGGGUGCGGAAACCCGGUAGGCACAAGGAAAUAACAGGUGGGAACCCUCUCGAGGGGUUGCACCACGGGCACCGACCCGAUCUUACGUGAAGGGUUCGAGUUGGAGCAUGCAUGUCGGGACCAAAGAUGGUGAACUAUGCCCGAAGCGAGGCGGGCCGGAGGAAACUCUGGUGGAGGCCGAAGCGAUACCGACGCGGCAAAUCGUUAAAUCUGACGUGGAAACUCUGGCGGCCGAGGAAACUAUGACUAAUCGAACUAUCUAGUAGCUGGUUCCUCCGAAGUUUCCCUCGGGAUAGUUGGAGCCCACGUGCGAGUUCUAUCGGGUAAAGCCAAUGAUUAGAGGCAUCGGGGGCGCAAUGCCCUCGACCUAUUCUCAAACUUUAAAUAGGUAGGACGGCGCGGCUGUUUCGUUGAGACGCGUCGCGGAAUCGAGAGCUCCAAGUGGGCCAUUUUUGGCAAGCAGAACUGGCUAUGCGGGAUGAACCGGAAGCCGGGUUACGGUGCCCAAUUGCGCGCUAACCCAGACACCACAAAGGGUGUUGGUCGAUUAAGACAGCUGGACGGUGGUCAUGGAAGUCGAAAUCCGCUAAGGAGUGUGUAACAACUCACCUGCCGAAUCAACUAGCCCCGAAAAUGGAUGGCGCUGAAGCGCGACCCACCACCAUCGGGCGGCGCCAAGCCCCGAUGAGUAGAGGGGGGCGCGGCGGUCGCGAAAAACCAGGGCGCGAGCCCGGGCGGAGCGGCCGUCGGUGCAGAUCUUGGUGGUAGUAACAAAUAUUCAAAUGAGAACUUUGAAGGGCGAAGAGGGGAAACGUUCCAUGUGAACGUCACUUGCACAUGGGUUAGCCGAUCCUAAAGGGACGGGGAAGCCCGUCCGAGAGCGUGUCUCCCGUAGCGAGCUCAAAGGGAAUCGGGUUAAAAUUCCCGAGCCGGACGGGGCGCGGACGGCAACGUUAGGAAGUCCGGAGACGCCCGGCGGGGCUCCGGGAAGAGUUAUCUUUUCUGCUUAACGGCCCGCCCACCCUGGAAAUGGCUUAGCCGGAGGUAGGGUCCAGCGGUCGGAAGAGCGCCCGACGUCGCUACGGCGUCCGGUCGCGCCCCGGCGCCCUUCAAAAUCCGUAGGACCGAGUGCCGCCAGCUUCGGUCGUACUCAUAACCCAUCAGGUCUCCAAGGUGAACAGCCUCUAGCCCAUGGAACAAUGUAGGCAAGGGAAGUCGGCAAAACGGAUCCAGAAACCGGAAAAGGAUUGGCUCGAGGGCUGGGCACGGGGUCCCGCCCCAACCCGUCGGCUGUCGGCGGACUGCUCGAGCUGCUCUCGCGGCGAGAGUGGGUCGCCGAUGCGUCGGCCGGGGACGGACGAAUUGCCCCCUCGAGAGCCUUCCCGGCGUCGAACAGCCGACUCAGAACUGGUAAUGCGGACAAGGGAAUCCGACCGUUUAAUUAAAACAA
rnacentral:rRNA from 1 species